CAAAGUCGAUAUAUAUAGUUCGCCAAAGUAGGCUUCACAGAUCAGAGCGGUACCGCUGUCUACAACCUCCGAUAUCAUUGGACUAGGAAUAGGAAAGUUGGAUAACGACAACGUAACAUUGUCAAAGACGCUAUUACUACUACAGCUCCCACGACCGUCCAGAUCUCCUCAUACACCGAGGACAAAGUGGUGUGGAACAAGCAUUUUAGAGUUUUGAUAAGAAAGGAUCAAGUUUGUUUACAGAAAAAUCAAAAAUGAACACCAUGAUAUUCGUCCUGCUUGUCGUCUUUGGCGUAACGACAUAUACCCAGGCCUUCUCACUGUCCCAUUCAUUUCGCUGUCAAAUAGUCUGUCAGGAACGGUACCGAUCCUGCAUCAGGAAUGAAUGUGAUGGAUAUGCACCGGAAGCAGACCAAUAUUAUGACAGCGUCGUUGAUGACUGCGCAGCCAAAUGCCAGGAAGGGCUUUAUGUUUGUCCAAGGAGCUGUGGCAUAACACGACGUGGGAAAUAAAUAUAGGAUGCUCAAUUAAUCUGCAAUGAACUCUUUGCCUCUAAAGACGUUUCUCAGUAUACAAGUCUGGUUGUUGUCGUUUUUAUUAAUGGUUGUCAUUAGAAUUUAUCAUUGCGAUUAUUUCCAGAUCAUGAAUUGUGUACUUCUUAGAUUUGUAGAUGAGUUUCAUACAAAUAUAAUGUAAGUCUACUAAGAAAUUGAAAGCAGAUUAUGAUGACUGUUUCAGCGUCACAUCAAAUUGUGCUACUGACAGAAUAGGUUUCAACUCCGCAGGAUUUUAAUGGCAUAUCAACGCCACAUCUCUGCUUUGUUUCAGAGGGCUAAAUUCACUGUGCUUACCUAUUGACAGCGUUCCGCGGAUACUAAUUAAAUAUUAUGCGAGUAAAGAUGUAUGCAUAAGCAUUUUCCUACAUAACAGGUGAGAUAUCAGAUAGUUAAAGAAGCUCACACCGUAACUAGCGUUAUUUAUGUUGUUUGAUCUAUGACAUCCACGGUGUGGUUUUGACUCCUAGUGACUGUAAGUUUUGCUGUUAAAUUAUAGUAGAAUAUUUUAAUUUUGAGUGUAUUGAUGUUGAAUAUGCUAUCAAUAUAUUUAUAUCUAAUCAUUUACAGAUGUUAUUUGAUAUAAUAAUAGAUAUUUUCUCAACA